UACGUGGGGUGCAAGCGUUGUUCGGAAUUACUGGGCGUAAAGCGUGUGUAGGCGGCUCGUUAAGUCUGGUGUGAAAUCCCCGAGCUUAACUCGGGAACUGCAUCGGAAACUGGCGAGCUCGAGUCCGGGAGAGGGUGGCGGAAUUCCUGGUGUAGAGGUGAAAUUCGUAGAUAUCAGGAGGAGCACCGGUGGCGAAGGCGGCCACCUGGACCGGUACUGACGCUGAGACACGAAAGCGUGGGGAGCAAACAGG
rnacentral:rRNA from 1 species